AGCCCCGCGCGCUCCCCCAGGCCCUGCCCCUCACGGCCCCGCCUACCUGAGAAGCCCAGGUCCAGCAGCACCGCGCGGCGACGGUCGCGGACGCUGCUGAUCUGCUGGAAGCGCACGUCGAGCAGCAGGAACGCGGCGCAGGCGAAGAAGGCCCCAAGGCCGAGCGCGACGCCGAAGCGGCAGGCACCCGCGUUGCCGUUGAAGACGCAGCGCAGCUCCGGGCCGCUGUCGGCGUUCACGUAGCCCUCGUUGACUAUGGGCCCGAAGACGGCGAUGGAGAACACCUGUGGGCGGUGGGAGCGCUCAAGGCCCUGCGAUGGCCCCUUCCUGGUCGAGGCCCGAGGUCUCCUAGCCCACCCCCCAGCUCCUAGAGACUUAGUCAAGAGUGAAACCAAGGUGCAAGAUAUGGACACGUACCCACAGGGGUCACGGGUUCGAGCCCUGGUCUGGGAAGAUCCCACAUGCCACGGAGCAACUAAGCCUGCGAGCCACAACUACUGAAGCCCGUGUGCCUGGAGCCCGUGCUCCACAAGAGAAGCCACUGCAAUGAGAAGCCCACGCACUGCAAUGAAGAAUAGCCCCCGCUCACCACAACUAAAAGAAAGCCUGUGCACAGCGAGGACCCAACGCAGCCGUAGAUAAAUAAAAAAUAAAUAAAUAAAU